rnacentral:rRNA from 1 species
GAUGAACGCUGGCGGCGUGCCUAAUACAUGCAAGUCGAGCGAACAGACGAGGAGCUUGCUCCUCUGACGUUAGCGGCGGACGGGUGAGUAACACGUGGAUAACCUACCUAUAAGACUGGGAUAACUUCGGGAAACCGGCGCUAAUACCGGAUAAUAUAUUGAACCGCAUGGUUCAACAGUGAAAGACGGUCUUGCUGUCACUUAUAGAUGGAUCCGCGCCGCAUUAGCUAGUUGGUAAGGUAACGGCUUAACAAGGCAACGAUGCGUAGCCGACCUGAGAGGGUGAUCGGCCACACUGGAACUGAGACACAGUCCAGACUCCGACGGGAGGCAGCAGUAGGGAAUCUUCCGCGAUGGGCGAAAGCCGGACGGAGCAACGCCGCGGGAGUGAUGAAGGUCUUCGGAUCGGAAAACGCUGUUAUUAGGGAAGAACAAAUAUGUAAGUAACUAUGCACGUCUUGACGGUACCUAAUCAGAAAGCCACGGCUAACUACGUG